rnacentral:rRNA from 1 species
AGAACGAACGCUGGCGGCAGGCCUAACACAUGCAAGUCGAACGCUCGUAGCAAUACGAGAGUGGCAGACGGGUGAGUAACACGUGGGAACCUUCCCUUCGGUCGGGAAUAGCUCAGGGAAACUUGAGGUAAUACCGGAUACGCCCUUACGGGGAAAGAUUUAUCGCCGUUGGAUGGGCCCGCGUCGGAUUAGCUAGUUGGUGAGGUAACGGCUCACCAAGGCGACGAUCCGUAGCUGGUCUGAGAGGAUGAUCAGCCACACUGGGACUGAGACACGGCCCAGACUCCUACGGGAGGCAGCAGUGGGGAAUAUUGGACAAUGGGCGCAAGCCUGAUCCAGCCAUGCCGCGUGAGUGACGAAGGCCUUAGGGUGUAAAGCUCUUUGGCGGGACGAGUAAUGACGGUACCCGCAGAAUAAGCUCCGGCUAACUUCGUGCCAGCAGCCGC